rnacentral:tRNA from 1 species
UUCAUAAAGGAGCCGUAUGAUAUUAAAAUUUCAUGUUCUCCAAGCUAAUGAUGCGGGUUCGAUUCCCGCUACCCGC